GUAUACAGCUGUGUACUUCCCUCAGCUCUAAUUGGUAGAUAAAGGCAGGCAGCUAGGCUCUGACCACUAACCACUCAAGGACAACAGUGUUAUUCUAAGAAAACUGCCUUCACAGUAGGAAAGCUUCAGAUUCAGAAUCUUAAAAUUGAAGAAAUCAUGGUGGAAACUGUCCUGGCACCAUGGACAAUAUUCUUGGUCAUCUCCGCUGCAGUGCUCAUAAUGAGCUUUUUGAUGUUUCUUCCCCCUGCUGCUGUGGUGAUCUGGAGAAUGAAGUAUAUGCCUCAAAUAACUUUGAAUGGAGCUGUAUAACUAGGCCUCAUGGAUGAUAUAAUUCCAUGGGUCCCAUCAAAGACUCUAAAACCAAGCAAUGAAAAUGUCUCAUAGAUAGCAAUUAUUGCUUGAGAUCCAUCAUGAGACUAAGCUUUUCCAAAGUCUAUAACUGCUGAAAUCCUGCAGGAUACUGCAUCUAAUUAAUACAAAUUUAAUAUGGCUUCUACUACUCUACCUUCAUCUUAUUGGCUGGGGGCUGGCAUGGCACAGGUGCUAAGGUAUACAGUUGAAUCUGCAAAUUCUGAUAAAUACUUUGUCACAAGAACAUGAGAAAAGAAAGGAAAGGACCUCAUUGGCUGUUAUCAUCACUUGUUUGUUUCCUGGACUGAGUUUCUCUUUAUGACCAUCCCUGAGAAAAUACGACUAGAGAAAAGCAAGUGUAUAAUGCAGUGAUCUCUAACUGCCCUUAAGUAAAUGCUCUUGCCUCUAAAUGCUGCUUGCCUUUUCCUACUUAUGAAUAGGCACUUGCGAAUAGUAGCAGCAAAUUGUCUUACUUUUAAAACAUGAAAACUAUAAAGGUCUGAAAAGUUCAAGGCAAAUGGUACACACUAAGAAGUAUUAUUUAUCACAAUCUAACAAAAGCUUUAAAAGGGAGUGAUGCAAUAGAAAGUAUAUUGUGGUACUGCUGUUAAUCAACCAUUAGUCUUGCACCUGGAUGAUUUGAAAACUUGUUCAUGGUCUAGAACAUUUGUUUUUCUUGUCUGCUUUUUUUGCAAAUUCUAACGGUCAGAACACAAAGCUAUCCCCAGCCCUUGGCUAGAAUAUUGGUUUGAUUUAUAUGCUCUGGUGCUCAAAUAUACCAAUGUAAACAUCGACUAUGACAAGUUAAUACAAACAUACUGCAGGUGUUUUCCCUGAAAUAUACUAUAUGAAUGUACUGGAGGAAAUGGUGAGAUGUAUUUAAAACUAAAGGAAAUUUAAAUAAACAUGAUUGAUUACUUUGUGCGCCA